rnacentral:rRNA from 1 species
AACGGGAUCCCGGGAACUGGGAUUAUACUCCAUAUAUCGUCAUACCUGGAAUGGUAUCUCCACUUAAAGAUCCGGCGCUCCAGGAUGAAUCUGCGGCCGAUUAGGUAGUUGUUGGGGUAACGGCCCACCAAGCCUUUCAUCUGUACGGGUUGUGAGAGCAAGAGCCCGGAGAUGGAUUCUGAGACACGAAUCCAGGCCCUACGGGGCGCAGCAGGCGCGAAAACUUUACCAUGCGAGCAAUCGUGAUAGGGAAACCCCGAGUGCCACUCUUAGCUGGCUGUCUUUUCGUUUAUGUAACUGGCUUUUAAAAGACCAGCUGAGACCGAUGCCUGCCACCACCCUAAUACAAUCCAU